rnacentral:rRNA from 1 species
GACGAACGCUGGCGGCGCGCCUAACACAUGCAAGUCGAACGGAGCUGAGCGUAGCUUGCUAUUCUUAGCUCAAAGGCGAACGGAUGAGUAAAGCAAGAGUACCCUGCCUUCGGGAGGGGGACAACAGACGGAAACGAAUGCUAAUACCGCAUCAGCCCACGAUCGGGGGUGGGAUUAAGGGUGGGCGGUUUUUGAGGGACUGGCGGCUCAUCAGCCUGUUGGGGGGGUAGGGGUUUACCAAGGCCAUGACGGGUAGCCGGCCUGGGAGGGCGACCGGCGACAGUGGGACUGAGAUACGGACCAGACUCCUACGGGAGGCAGCAGUGGGGAAUAUUGCACAAUGGGCGGAAGCCUGAUGCAGCAACGCCGGGUGCGGGAUGACGGCCUUCGGGUUGUAAACCGCUUUCAGCAGGGGCGAAGCUUGUGGUGACGGUACCUGCAGAAGAAGCACCGGCUAACUACGUG